UAGGGGGCAAGCGUUAUCCGGAUUCACUGGGCGUAAAGGGAGCGCAGGCGGCACGGCAAGUCUGGUGUGAAAACCCGGGGCCCAACCCCGGGACUGCAUUGGAAACUGCCGGGCUAGAGUGUCGGAGGGGUAAGCGGAAUUCCUAGUGUAGCGGUGAAAUGCGUAGAUAUUAGGAGGAACACCAGUGGCGAAGGCGGCUUACUGGACGAUGACUGACGCUGAGGCUCGAAAGCGUGGGGAGCAAA
rnacentral:rRNA from 1 species